rnacentral:rRNA from 1 species
GACGAACGCUGGCGGCGUGCUUAACACAUGCAAGUCGAACGCUGAAGCUCAGCUUUUGUUGGGUGGAUGAGUGGCGAACGGGUGAGUAACACGUGAGUAACCUGCCUCCUUCUUUGGGAUAACGCCCGGAAACGGGUGCUAAUACUGGAUAUUCACUGGUCUUCGCAUGGGGGUUGGUGGAAAGUGUUUUUCUGGUGGGGGAUGGGCUCGCGGCCUAUCAGCUUGUUGGUGUGGUGAUGGCCUACCAAGGCUUUGACGGGUAGCCGGCCUGAGAGGGUGACCGGGCACAUUGGGACUGAGAUACGGCCCAGACUACUACGGGAGGCAGCAGUGGAGAAUAUUGCACAAUGGGCGGAAGACUGAUGCAGCGACGCCGCGUGAGGGAUGGAGGCCUUCGGGUUGUGAACCUCUUUCGCUAAUGGUCAAGCCGCAACAAUGGUUGUGGUGAGGGUAGUGGGUAAAGAAGCGCCGGCUAACUACGUG